CACCCUGCAUACCACCCUGCAUACCACCCUGCAUACCACCCUGCUGGAAGGACCAAGGUUGUGACGCUAGGACAGCUUUACGUGUAGAUCCCACAGCUUCUCGGUGUUCACUGUCAACACUGAAACAAUAUGAAAAGACCAUCACCUUGGAUCCCAAUUCUGUCGGGAGAUUUAUCUGGCUAUCUCUGGACAUGACCAGUGCUAGGAACACAUACCCAUACAUCCAGCCCCACACCCUCCACCCAGAGCGGCUCAAACAGAGUGAAAUGGUGAGGGGCGCACAAGGCUACAGUAGAGGCUGUCACUACUUGCAAGUGCACUUUAAGAAUCUUCCCAGUGGAUCACAGGAGGACUCGUGUUGUGAGGUUGGGGUGAUGUACAAGGAAAACGCUGGCGAAAUGAAGGAGAGUUGGCGCAUACGGUUUUCCACCUCUCAGUCUACGCCAUAUGCUGAGGCAAAUUCAGGCGAGACAGUUUAUACCAUAACCACUGGUAACAACUCUCUUAGCAGCAUUCAUGUGUAUUUAGACUGUGACUCUGGAAUCCUUGCUGUGUACGGUAAGGUAUCAAGUACAGUAAAUAUACGUCAAAGUAACUCAUUUAAUGCAGUAAAUCGUGUUUACUCUUUCAACACCAAAUUCAGUGAACCUCUGUACCCCAUGUUUGUAAUCCCUAAAGGGGCAGAUAUUAGGUUAAAUUAGGUGACCCAAAUGAUGAAUAUACCCAUCUGUAGAUUUAUAGUCGUGGAACAGUUACAUCAUCUAAAUUGUUAAUUUGGAAUGCAAUCUGUUUUUUGUUCACUGUUAAAAGGAAAAUGGCACAAUUGAUAGUUGUGUACUUAUUAGGCAUGAUGCUUGCUGUGACGGCACAGAAAAUAGGACUUUACCUCAUUGAUGUAUUAAAAGAUUCAUAUAUUUUUUGUGUGCGUUUUGUUGGUAUGUUUUUCUCCCGCUUAUCAUAGCUUUUCUGUAAUGUCAGAUUGCUGGGUGGGUGAGGGUUUAAAAAAACACUCAAAAAUGUGCACUUGAUGAAAUUGAUGGAUUGAAAUAUCAAUAAAAAUGCA